rnacentral:rRNA from 1 species
GACGAACGCUGGCGGCGUGCUUAACACAUGCAAGUCGAACGGAGUGGCGGACGGGUGAGUAACACGUGGGUGAUCUGCCUUGCACUUCGGGAUAAGCUUGGGAAACUGGGUCCAAUACCGGAUAGUGCAAGAUGAGCUCGCGGCCUAUCAGCUGGUUGGUGGGGUAAUGGCAUACCAAGGCGGCGACGGGUAGCCGGCCUGAGAGGGUGUACGGCCUCAGUGGGACUUAGAUACGGCCCAGACUCCUACGGGAGGCAGCAGUCGGGAAUAUUGCACAAUGGGCGGAAGCCUGAUGCAGCGACGCCGGGUGGGUGAUGAAGGCCUUCGGGUUGUAAACUCCUUUCGACAGGGACGCGGUACCUGUAUAAGAAGCACCGGCUAACUCCGUGCCAGCCGCCGCGGUAAUUC